AAAGAGUCAUACGUUGAAGGCUUAGCCAGCUACGGCGGCCCCGAGUCAUGCGUGCACGUUCGUGAGGGCGUGGGCGAAGCGUUGACAGGGGAAAAGGCAGGCCGGGUAUUGAGCUGCGAAAUACAUGCCCUGCGCCGUAAGGCGCAGGUGGUUCGGGGUGCCGAGGUUUUGGAGACAUGCCGAAGGCCACACCGUGCUUGCCGCAUUGGCGAGGCAAGCGCGGACCUCGCGCAGUCAGAGACCC
rnacentral:ncRNA from 1 species